rnacentral:rRNA from 1 species
UACAGAGGCGGCAAGCGUUGUUCGGAAUUACUGGGCGUAAAGGGCUCGUAGGCGGCCAACUAAGUCGGAUGUGAAAUCCCCAGGCUUAACCUGGGAACUGCAUCCGAUACUGGAUGGCUUGAAUUCGGGAGAGGGAUGCAGAAUUCCAGGUGUAGCGGUGAAAUGCGUAGAUAUCUGGAGGAAUACCGGUGGCGAAGGCGGCAUCCUGGACCGACAUUGACGCUGAGGAGCGAAAGCUAGGGGAGCAAACGGG